CAAGAGUAGUGAGAGAAAAAGUCCCAAGGUAACACUUAUAACUGAAGAGGGUAGAACAUCAACAACUGGGAAGCUUGACCACAGGAGUCAUAGGACCACCGGAUAACAGCGGGGGGAGUCCUCCUAAGCCGGAUGAUUGCUUGCCUUCUCGUCGAAUUAGGCUGUGAAAACAUAAAGGAACAGGAGCCGACAGGUUAAAGUCGAUACUUGCAACUAGUUUCAA